AAGAAAGACUUUUUUCUUCCAAGGGGCUCCCUCCUCCCUGCUGUGAAAUGGAACGCCUUUUGUCUGAACCCCACUUCCUUCGGUGCUGACACGCAACUGUUAGGUGUUUCCCAUGCCUGGCAAUCGUCCCUAAGCGCAAAGCUCGGGGGUGCUUUGGUGAUCCAUGAAAAGGCUGGCAGGCGUUCUUGUGAUAGGAAGAGGUUCUGUUUAUAACCAUAUAUGUCUCCCCAAGAGAGCCGAUGAAUAAUGUGCUCGCUCUGGCAGGGCUGUCUUUCCAUAGCUGCCCCAGGAGCCCUUUGGCCCCCACUGGCUGCUUCUCCUAUUUCAAUUUCCAUGUCCUCUCGGUUUUGUAACUCAAGGAGCUCCCCUGGCUUAGGAACAGCUGACAACUCCACAGCUCCCAGCAGUGGCACCUGGAGAAGGGGCGGAUGGGCACUGACUUGUGGGCGUGCUCUGGGGCACCCUGUCCCCAGCUGUCAUGAGUCAUUUACAAGCAAAGAACAAGCACAUGACCAAGGACAAAGAGGACAUCUUGACCAUGUGCAGGAAGGAGGCAGGGAGCAGGGCUGUCUCGCAGAGCAAGGCCAGGGCAUCCCACCCCACCGUGGCCGCCCAUCCCCAUGGCCUCCCCCAAGGUCAGGAAACUGUCCCACAUUGCAGUAAGUAAGCGCGCCAGGCAUGGCUGCAGGCGAGGUGUGGUCAGGCAGCCCCUGCGGCCAGUCUACAGGAAGGUCACGGUUUGUGAAGGGAUCUGGUGCCUCCCCCGUUCAAAUUUCUUUUUCUCCUCCUUAUUAGUUGAAUCUUAAGAGUCGGCAGUACCAUAAGACAUGAAACCUUUAAUUCUUUUUAAAUGGAAAACCAGGCUGGGCGCGGUGGCUCAUGCCUGUAAUCCCAGCACUUUGGGAGGCCGAGGUGGGCAGAUCACCUGAGGUCAGGAGUUCAAGAACAGCCUGGCCAACAUGGUGAAACCCUGUCUCCACUAAAAAUACAAGAAUUAGCCAGGUAUGGUGGCACAUGCCUGUAAUCCCAGUUACUCAGGAGGCGGAGGCAGGAGAAUCGGGAGGUGGAGGUUGCAGUGAGAUGAGAUUGCCACAUUGCACUCCAGCCUGGGUGGCAGGGUGAGACUCCAUCUCAAAAAAAAAAAAAAAGGAAAACCAAGCAGAAGUCACUGUCGGGGGACCUGUCACCCACCAUAAGGGGAACGCUCUGCAGAGCCGGAGGCCUGAGCCCGAGUCCUGACACCAGCGGGCUGUGAAACUGGGGGCCAGCACCUUGUCCUCAGGGCCUUGGUUUCCUCACUUGUAAAUUCAUGGUUCUCCAUGGCAUCUCUGCAACAUUAUGUUGCACAGAGUCUCAGAAGCUUUAUUGUAAGAGGAUGAUAUGGGCACGAAGCAAGGCACCCAGGAGUGGGGGCAGCUACUCUGCUUCUGAAAUGCAAGGGAACCGGAAAAUCUAGGAGCGGUGUGAAAGUGGGUGAGUAUUUUCUUGGGCCACCAAAGGGUCUGGACUGGUGUGGCUUGAGUUCAGUUUUUGUGUUUUAGACAGAUUUGAAAACUCACUUCUCCCUAUCAAGCACUGGAAGGAAUUAGUCACCCUUUCUUUGUGGAAGUGGAGAGAUUCUCUGAGAGCUACUCAACAGGCUCUUUUGAAAGGUUCUCGGGACCAGCACCGUGCUGAGUGAGUGUGUGUGUGUGUGUGUGUGUGUGUGUGUGUGUUUCUGCGUGUGCGAGAGAGAGGAAGAGGGAGAGAAAAACAGAAUGUGAAGGCAUGUGAGAGAC
rnacentral:lncRNA from 10 species